GAUGAACGCUGGCGGUCUGCUUAACACAUGCAAGUCGAACGGAAGUAGCAAUACUUUAGUGGCGGACGGGUGAGUAACACGUAAGAAUCUGCCUCCAGGACGGGAAAAACAGUUGGAAACGACUGCUAAUUCCGGAUGAGCCGAAAGGUAAAAAGAAAUUCGCCUGGAGAUGAGCUUGCGGCUGAUUAGCUAGUUGGUAGGGUAAGAGCCUACCAAGGCGACGAUCAGUAGAUGGUCUGAGAGGAUGAGCAGCCACACUGGGGCUGGGACACGGCCUACGCUCCGACGGGAGGCAGCAGUGGGGAAUUUUCCGCAAUGGGCGAAAGCCCGACGAGGCAAGACCGCGGGGGGGAGGAAGGUUCUUGUAUUGUCAACAUCUUUACUCAGGGAAGAAGAUCGGACGGUACGUGAGGAGUCAGCGUCGGCUAAGUCCGUGGAACCAGCCGCCGUAAAAC
rnacentral:rRNA from 1 species